rnacentral:rRNA from 1 species
UACGAAGGGGGCUAGCGUUGCUCGGAAUCACUGGGCGUAAAGGGCGCGUAGGCGGACGGCUUUGUCGGGCGUGAAAUUCCAGGGCUUAACCUUGGGGCUGCGUUCGAGACGGGUUGUCUAGAGUUUGGAAGAGGGUCGUGGAAUUCCCAGUGUAGAGGUGAAAUUCGUAGAUAUUGGGAAGAACACCGGUGGCGAAGGCGGCGACCUGGUCCUUGACUGACGCUGAGGCGCGAAAGGCGUGGGGAGCAAACAGG